UACGUAGGGUGCGAGCGUUGUCCGGAAUUACUGGGCGUAAAGAGUUCGUAGGUGGUUUGUCGCGUUGUUCGUGAAAACUCACAACUCAAUUGUGGGCGUGCGGGCGAUACGGGCAGACUGGAGUACUGCAGGGGAGACUGGAAUUCCUGGUGUAGCGGUGGAAUGCGCAGGUAUACUAGGAGGAACACCGGUGGCGAAGGCGGGUCUCUGGGCAGUAACUGACGCUGAGGAGCGAAAGCGUGGGGAGCGAACAGG
rnacentral:rRNA from 1 species